rnacentral:rRNA from 1 species
CCUACGGGUGGCAGCAGUGAGGAAUAUUGGUCAAUGGACGGAAGUCUGAACCAGCCAUGCCGCGUGCAGGAAGACGGCUCUAUGAGUUGUAAACUGCUUUUGUACAAGGGUAAACCUGAAUACGUGUAUUCAGCUGAAAGUACUGUACGAAUAAGGAUCGGCUAACUCCGUGCCAGCAGCCGCGGUAAUACGGAGGAUCCAAGCGUUAUCCGGAUUCAUUGGGUUUAAAGGGUGCGCAGGCGGGCCUUUAAGCCGGCGGUGAAAUCGCGGGGCUCAACCCCGCCGAGCCGUCGGAACUGGGGGCCUUGAGUGCGGCGGAGGCAUGCGGAAUGCGCGGUGUAGCGGUGAAAUGCAUAGAUAUCGCGCAGAACCCCGAUUGCGAAGGCAGCGUGCCGUGCCGCCACUGACGCUGAGGCACGAAAGCGCGGGGAUCGAACAGGAUUAGAUACCCGUGUAGUC